GACGAACGCUGGCGGCGUGCUUAACACAUGCAAGUCGAACGGAAAGGCCCUGCUUUUGUGGGGUGCUCGAGUCGCGAACGGGUGAGUAACACGUGAGUAACCUGCCCUUGACUUUGGGAUAACUUCAGGACACUGGGGCUAAUACCGGAUAGGAGCUCCUGCUGCAUGGUGGGGGUUGGAAAGUUUCCGCGGUUGGGGAUGGACUCGCGGCUUAUCAGCUUGUUGGUGGGGUAGUGGCUUACCAAGGCUUUGACGGGUAGCCGGCCUGAGAGGGUGACCGGCCACAUUGGGACUGAGACACGGCCCAGCCUCCUACGGGAGGGAGCAGUGGAGAAUAUUGCACGAUGCGCGGAGGCCUGAUGCAGCAACGUCGCGCGCGGGAUGACGGCCUUCAGGUUGUAGACCGCUUUCGCCUGUGACGAAGCGAAAGUGACGGUAAUGGGUAGACAAGCACCGGCUAACUACGUG
rnacentral:rRNA from 1 species